rnacentral:rRNA from 1 species
UACGUAGGGGGCAAGCGUUGUCCGGAAUUAUUGGGCGUAAAGCGCGCGCAGGCGGUCCUUUAAGUCUGAUGUGAAAGCCCACGGCUCAACCGUGGAGGGUCAUUGGAAACUGGAGGACUUGAGUACAGAAGAGGAAAGCGGAAUUCCACGUGUAGCGGUGAAAUGCGUAGAGAUGUGGAGGAACACCAGUGGCGAAGGCGGCUUUCUGGUCUGUAACUGACGCUGAGGCGCGAAAGCGUGGGGAGCAAACAGG